UCUAAUUUAUUUGAAUUGCUGGGUAUCAGGCUUCCUGCUGCUUUACCAUUUGUGUAACUCUGUGUUGAGUUUCUGGAGCACAGACUUGCAGGGCAAUUCCUGCUGUCAAAGCUGCAGCUGGAAGAUUUGGCAUUAGGUAGAGCUUGUUCUUUUCAUGUCUGGUUCUGCCAGCACCCACGGUGAGUUUUUUCUUGAAGCUGAUCCUAAUCAAGGAAUGCAAGGCAGCUUCUGGGACAAAGUCUUCAUGCUUUUGGAAGUUUGCUUUCCAGCCUGGCAAUCACCCAUUCACAGCACUUACUCAAACCUUUUCAGUAAUCUCUCUUCUCUGCCAGGAAUUGUCUCAGUAUUAGUGAAUGCUUGUUUUGCUUGAUCUAAUUUUAGCAUAUGUUAAUAACUGAGUUAUUUACUGUGCUGACAUUACCAUACAGUUAGUGUCUCACAGACCCAAAGAUUAUAUGUCCAUUACAUCUCUUUAAUUCUCUUUGUCAUUGCCAGUGUGGUUCCAAUCAUCAUAAAAUUUGCUUAGCAGUGAGUAGUUGUUUAUGGAAAUGGGAAAAAUAAACCAAAAAACCCCACAACCAACAGUUCUUUUGGAACUGUUUUCUGCAGUUUUACUAACCCACCUGCAGUGCAGCUCCCUGAGCCCCCACGUGCCCUCACUGAUGUACCUCAGUACUGACUGCACUGCUUUCCCCUCUAACCCUCAGACUCCCAAAGGAUCGUGGACAUUCAGUUCAUCCUGAUGAGUAUAUAAACCACUCCAUACAUUCCCCACCCACACCAGUUAAAAGAUGAGCCAUGAAAACACUGGGGAGUGGAAAAGAGGCACUUGGAGAGCUUCAGGAGCAGCACAAGAUUUGGGGUGUGCUGGGGGUGCUGCUUUUCAGCCCAGACACCUGGAAGUCUAAUUCCACCUCUGUGGUUACUGUUUCUUCAGUGUUUCUCAUUAACUGCCAUGACUAAGAGGCAGUAACACCUUUCUCCCCCCACCCCCAAGAAUAUUGCCCAUGCUGGGUUGUCAGUUAUGCUGAAUUACACUGGAUCCCUGCUUACUCAGUGAUGUAGGCAAAUAACAAUUCAAGAUCAAGGGUGAACCCUGGCCACUAAACUUGUUUCACUUGUGACUCAUUCCAGUCUUAAAAACCUGGCUCUUGCUGACAUUUUAUUAACCCAAUUUGUCAUCCUCCUAACCCCCAUUAUCCAACCCAGGCAGAUUAUUUACUUUGAAAAGAUGUGCAGAUAGCUUCCAUGCGAAUCCUAAGUAGAUCCAGGUGCCACAGCUAGAUUCCAGAGGGUAUUACAGUCAUGAGAGACAUGUGCUGGUAAAAUAACUUCUAGAUGCUUCCAAACUCAAUGACAUUCUCCCUCUUUAGAUUUUGUCUGGACUCUCCUUCCUGCAAAGCAGCCUGGCACCAGCAUGGUGAAGUGCCCAAGUCCAUACCUUCAGGGCUGUGUGUGUUCCCAAAGAGAUCAGCAAAGCAUUCGAGUCAAGAAUUAGCUUGCUGCCUUCCAGAGAAUUCAUCAUUUCCAGUUUGCAAGCUUGAAGAGAGAAAUCCAGGAAGCAUCAAUAAAUCUACUUUGGCAGUGGAGUAAAGAGCUGCAAAAGGAGUAACCUGUCAAGGCAGGUUGAGCGCCGGGAGCUGAGGGUUGGUGGAGAUGCUGGGAUCGGACAUGCGGGGGCAGCCUUACCUGCGGAUUGUCACGGCUCUAAAACACCGCGGCAGGGGCUCUGCAGGCAGCUCGCUUUGGCCUCCCAACUUCCCAUGCCAAGCUCUGGAGCUUUGCCCCUUUCCGAACAAGGGACCCAUCCAGGCUUCCCAGGUUUCCUCACUCAAAGGGCGAGCGCUGUCCCUUUAAAUAAGCGCCGAGAUCUCAGCCCAAGCGGGGACUGGAGCCCAGGCUACCCACGGUUAUGAAACCUCCCAUUCAGAGCUCGGGGGCUGCUGCUGCACUCCGAGGUUAAUAAUCAGUUUUAAUAUUCACUUAGGGGGCUGUAAAAAAAGAAUGAAAAUUUCCUAAUUUGAAAAUGGACUUGAUUGGCAGCUUUAUUAUCUCUGUAAGGUGCGUGGCAUUCCACACAAUCAAGUCGUUUUUUUAAAUAAUCUCACUGCUUAAGUCGUACACGCUGCUAAUUGCAUUUUAAUAAGUCUCUUUAAAAUCUUUCCAUAUUUUUUAAUAUCCUAAUAUUAGAUAAGUGAUUGCUGGGGACACUGGAGGGCACUGAAGUUUAUAGAAAGAGGAACACCAUAAUGAAGCUUUAUUGGGAUGGCAUCACCAAACAAUUGCUGUGAUAGCAACACUCCCAAGCUUGGAAAAGUGCCAGGCAUUCCCCCCCUGGAACUGACUCAGGCAGUAGCCUCUCUGGCUCAGGACUGACGCAGAAAAUGGAUGCUUUCUGGCUCAUAAAAUGGCCUCUUUCCGGCUUGGAAGUGACUGAGGAACUGUCCACUUUGGAUUUGGAAAGGACUUGGGAACUGGUUUUUCUCCAUUGAACAAUGACUUUGAAACACACUUUUGUUUUGCUUGGUUCUGGCUUGAAACUAUAAAAGUUGUUGGGUUUUUUUGCUUUUUGUUGUUUUUUUUGUUUUUAAAUCGGGUCAGGGUUAGACAGAAAGAAGGCAGAUUGUUUUACCAGCUCUAUACAGUAGCAGAUGAUGUGAAAGGCUUCAAUGGAAUUAGAAAAUCAAGGCUGCAACUAGAAUAGGUGAACUUUCCAUCUUAAAGA